rnacentral:tRNA from 1 species
UUUUUGAUGGCUGAUUUAGGCGAUAGAUUGUAAAUCUAUUUAUGGUAUUUCCUCUUGCUAUG